rnacentral:tRNA from 1 species
GCUGUCGUAGUUCAGUGGUAGAACGCUUGCUUGGUAGGCAAGAGGUCGCGGGUUCAACUCCCGCCGAUAGCU